CACGUAGGGGGCGAGCGUUGUCCGGAUUUAUUGGGCGUAAAGAGCUCGUAGGCGGUUCGAUAAGUCGGGUGUGAAAACUCUGGGCUCAACUCAGAGACGCCACCCGAUACUGUUGUGACUUGAGUCCGGUAGGGGAGUAUGGAAUUCCCGGUGUAGCGGUGAAAUGCGCAGAUAUCAGGAGGAACACCGGUGGCGAAGGCGGGUCUCUGGGCAGUAACUGACGCUGAGGAGCGAAAGCGUGGGGAGCGAACAGG
rnacentral:rRNA from 1 species